rnacentral:rRNA from 1 species
UCCUGCCAGUAGUCAUAUGCUUGUCUCAAAGAUUAAGCCAUGCAUGUGUAAGUAUAAGUAUUGUACAGCGAAACUGCGAAUGGCUCAUUACAUCAGUUAUAGUUUAUUUGAUAUUUGAAAGUUACAUGGAUAACCGUGGCAAUUCUACAGCUAAUACAUGCUUCAAAACCUGACUUCGGAAGGGUUGUAUUUAUUAGAUAUUAAACCAUCCCCUCGGGGCUGUGAUGAAUCAUAAUAACUGAUCGAAUCGAGGUUCGCCUUGAUAAAUCAUUCAAGUUUCUGCCCUAUCAGCUGUAGAUGGUAGUGUAUUGGACUACCAUGGCUAUUACGGGUAACGGAGAAUUAGGGUUCGAUUCCGGAGAGGGGAGCCUGAGAAAACGGCUACCACAUCUACGGAUGGCAGCAGGCGCGAAAAUUGCCAAUCCCGAUUCGGGGAGGCAGUGACAAG